GCGGGAGUGGCGAAAUUGGUAGACGCACCAGGUUUAGGUCCUGACGCCGUAAAAGGCGUGCCGGUUCGAGUCCGGCCCCCCGCACCA
rnacentral:tRNA from 1 species